GAGUUUGAUCAUGGCUCAGGACGAACGCUGGCGGCGUGCCUAACACAUGCAAGUCGAGCGGGGUUGGCAGCAGUUAGCUUGCUAACAGCAGUCAACCCAGCGGCGGACGGGUGAGUAACGCGUGAGCAACCAACCUUGUACAGGGGAUAACAGGUGGAAACACCUGCUAAUACCGCAUAAGACCCCGGCACUGCAUGGUGCUGAGGUAAAAGGAGGAAACUCCGGUACGAGACGGGCUCGCGUCCCAUUAGCUGGUUGGUGGGGUGACGGCCUACCAAGGCAACGAUGGGUAGCCGGCCUGAGAGGGUGUACGGCCACACUGGGACUGAGACACGGCCCAGACUCCUACGGGAGGCAGCAGUGGGGGAUAUUGCGCAAUGGGGGGAACCCUGACGCAGCGACGCCGCGUGAGCGAAGAAGGCCUUCGGGUCGUAAAGCUCUGUCUUUGGGGAAGAAUAA
rnacentral:rRNA from 1 species